GGUGAAAGGCCAAUCAAACUCCGUGAUAGCUGGUUCUCCCCGAAAUGCAUUUAGGUGCAGCGUCGUGUGUUUCUUGCCGGAGGUAGAGCACUGGAUAGGCGAUGGCCCUACCGGGUUACUGACCUUAGCCAAACUCCGAAUGCCGGUAAGUGAGAGCACGGCAGUGAGACUGUGGGGGAUAAGCUCCAUGGUCGAGAGGGAAACAGCCCAGAGCAUCGACUAAGGCCCCUAAGCGUACGCUAAGUGGGAAAGGAUGUGGAGUCGCAGAGACAACCAGGAGGUUGGCUUAGAAGCAGCCACCCUUGAAAGAGUGCGUAAUAGCUCACUGGUCAAGUGAUUCCGCGCCGACAAUGUAGCGGGGCUCAAGCGUACCGCCGAAGUCGUGUCAUUGCAGCAAUAGGGCCAACGCCCGCUGUGAUGGGUAGGGGAGCGUCGUGUGCCGGGUGAAGCAGCAGCGGAAGCUAGUUGUGGACGGUUCACGAGUGAGAAUGCAGGCAUGAGUAGCGAUACACACGUGAGAAACGUGUGCGCCGAUUGACUAAGGGUUCCUGGGUCAAGCUGAUCUGCCCAGGGUAAGUCGGGACCUAAGGCGAGGCCGACAGGCGUAGUCGAUGGACAACCGGUUGAUAUUCCGGUACCCGCUUUGAAACGCCCAAUAUCGAAUCAGGCGAUGCUAAGUCCGUGAAGCCGUUCCGGACUUCGGGGAAAGGAAAGUGGUGGAGCCGACGAACCAGACUUGUAGUAGGUAAGCGAUGGGGUGACGCAGGAAGGUAGUCCAGCCCGGGCGGUGGUUGUCCCGGGGUAAGGGUGUAGGCCGAGGGGUAGGCAAAUCCGUCCCUCAUUAAGGCUGAGACCUGAUGCCGAGCCGAUUGUGGUGAAGUGGAUGAUCCUAUGCUGUCGAGAAAAGCCUCUAGCGAGUUUCAUGGCGGCCCGUACCCUAAACCGACUCAGGUGGUCAGGUAGAGAAUACCGAGGCGUUCGGGUGAACUAUGGUUAAGGAACUCGGCAAAAUGCCCCCGUAACUUCGGGAGAAGGGGGGCCAUCACUGGUGAUCGGACUUGCUCCGUGAGCUGGGGGUGGCCGCAGAGACCAGCGAGAAGCGACUGUUUACUAAAAACACAGUCCGUGCGAAGCCGUAAGGCGAUGUAUACGGACUGACGCCUGCCCGGUGCUGGAACGUUAAGGGGACCGGUUAGUGACCUUUCGGGGUUGCGAAGCUGAGAACUUAAGCGCCAGUAAACGGCGGUGGUAACUAUAACCAUCCUAAGGUAGCGAAAUUCCUUGUCGGGUAAGUUCCGACCUGCACGAAUGGCGUAACGACUUCUCGACUGUCUCAACCAUAGGCCCGGUGAAAUUGCACUACGAGUAAAGAUGCUCGUUUCGCGCAGCAGGACGGAAAGACCCCGGGACCUUUACUACAGUUUGAUAUUGGUGUUCGGUUCGGCUUGUGUAGGAUAGGUGGGAGACUUUGAAGCCGUGACGCCAGUCAUGGUGGAGUCGCCGUUGAAAUACCACUCUGGUCGUGCUGGAUGUCUAACCUCGGUCCGUGAUCCGGAUCAGGGACAGUGUCUGAUGGGUAGUUUAACUGGGGCGGUUGCCUCCCAAAGGGUAACGGAGGCGCCCAAAGGUUCCCUCAGCCUGGUUGGCAAUCAGGUGUUGAGUGUAAGUGCACAAGGGAGCUUGACUGUGAGACCGACGGGUCGAGCAGGGACGAAAGUCGGGACUAGUGAUCCGGCGGUGGCUUGUGGAAGCGCCGUCGCUCAACGGAUAAAAGGUACCCCGGGGAUAACAGGCUGAUCUUCCCCAAGAGUCCAUAUCGACGGGAUGGUUUGGCACCUCGAUGUCGGCUCGUCGCAUCCUGGGGCUGGAGUCGGUCCCAAGGGUUGGGCUGUUCGCCCAUUAAAGCGGUACGCGAGCUGGGUUUAGAACGUCGUGAGACAGUUCGGUCCCUAUCCGCUGUGCGCGUAGGAAUAUUGAGAAGGGCUGUCCCUAGUACGAGAGGACCGGGACGGACGAACCUCUGGUGUGCCAGUUGUCCUGCCAAGGGCAUGGCUGGUUGGCUACGUUCGGGAGGGAUAACCGCUGAAAGCAUCUAAGCGGGAAGCCUGCUUCAAGAUGAGUAUUCCCACCUCCUUGA
rnacentral:rRNA from 1 species